AAUAGAUACCCGAGGUAGUCCAUGCCGUAAACGUUGGGCACUAGGUGUGGGGCUCAGUUCCACGAGUUCCGUGCCGCAGCAAACGCAUUAAGUGCCCCGCCUGGGGAGUACGGCCGCAAGGCUAAAACUCAAAGGAAUUGACGGGGGCCCGCACAAGCGGCGGAGCAUGCGGAUUAAUUCGAUGCAACGCGAAGAACCUUACCAAGGCUUGACAUGCACGGGAAGCCACCAGAGAUGGUGGUCUCUUUGGACACUCGUGCACAGGUGGUGCAUGGUUGUCGUCGGCUCGUGUCGUGAGAUGUUGGGUUAAGUCCCGCAACGAGCGCAACCCUCGUCCCAUGUUGCCAGCGGGGUUAUGCCGGGGACUCAUGGGAGACUGGCCGGGGUCAACUCGGAGGAAGGUGGGGAUGACGUCAAAUCAUCAUGCCCCUUAUGUCUUGGGCUUCACGCAUGCUACAAUGGCCGGUACAAGGGCUGCGAUGCCGUAAGGUGAGCGAAUCCCAAAAGCCGGUCUCAGUUCGGAUUGGGGU
rnacentral:rRNA from 1 species